rnacentral:lncRNA from 11 species
GCUAAUAACAUGCAUUUAUGAGCAAGCAUUGCUACACUGUUACUGAAAACAUUCCUGAAGGGUUUCCAAUAAACCAAGCUGAACUUAAAGAUACAGUUCCCCUUCGGCUUGCCAUAGGCUGGAAAUGA